CCGGGACUGGCCAGCCCAUCAGGAGCACCGGCUACAGCUCUUCCCGCAGCCCUCGGGGGGUUUUAUUAAAGCAAGAUCUGACGUCAGGGAUUGAAGCCGUGGUCACACAUUUGCAGGAGCGCCUUCCCUGCUCCGGACCCAGGCUCUUUGGGGCUGGUGUCGUUUCCCCAUAGCUGGGCAGCUGUCCUGCUGGGUUUGGGGUGUCUGGCCUUCACCCCCUGCUGGAUGCUUGCCACACAGAGUACUCCUCCCAGCGCCAUGGGAUGCCUUCAGAGACCGCUCUCUGACACUGCAACGGCGAGUCGGUGAAAGAGGGGAGCUGAGCAGGGGCCCUGAGAUCCUGGGUGACAUGGGGGGGGGACAGUCUGCAUGUUCACAGGCGUGAGGCCAGGGUGUCACACGGCGUCACUGGUUCCUGUUGUUCUUGGUGAUUUAUUUUCACCUGUGCUGCAGAGGGUCCAGGGCCCACUGCCAAGGCCGCCCAGGGCCCCCCUCAGAUCGUAGCAUUUACCUGCUCACUCCCACCCACCCCUGCUUCCCACGCCUGUCCCCCGUCCUCCCCAACAAGGAUCUGCAGCCUCGACUUGGCCCGAUUUGUGUGUGUGUCCUUGUCACAUAGGUAGCAUGGCUGUUGCUUUGACAAUGGCAUGUAAAGCACCCACUGCGUGUUAAGCACUGACUGCUCUGAGCACCUUGCAGGCACACGGAGCCCACACAGGGCAGGCAGCACGGCGCCAGAUCCCGGGGCCACUGAGACACGACGUGCCAUUGCCCGGGCACAGAGGCUGCAUCUGCUGAGCCACCCCGGCUGCUCCAGAAGGCAGAGUGUGGAGCAGGGUCCGCUCCAUAAUCCACCACCCUGCCAGGCCGCCUCAGCAGCCCAGGCGGGGCUCUGCCUCGCUUGCCGGGGGCCCAAGCAAGAAGGGGGGAGACACUGAGGGUGUCAGGGUGAAUGUUCUCCAGGCCCCAGCUGGGCCAGCUGGCUGUGCUCUGUGAGGCUGGGCCACUGGGCCACCCCUGAGGGGCUCCCGUACCUGCCGCUCAGUUCCUGAGUCACAGCAGGAGCACACCUUUGGCUUCAGCCUUGGGUGCAGGUGGGGGUCCCCAGGACUCCCCACUCCUCACCUGGGAAGGUGGAGGGGAAAAGCAAGGGCUUUGGAGGCAGGCUGGCCUGCAUUAAACCCCUACUCCAUUACGUGCCAGGCAGGAGGUCUUGGGGAAGCCACGUUACCUCUUUGAGCCUCAGUCUACCUGUCUAUCACUUGGGCGCAGUGAAGACAUCUGCCUCCUAGAGUUGCCACGGGGAAGGAAUUGUGCGGAGACCAGGCCGAUGCUGAGUAAACAGCUGUCAGGAAUACUCUUCAGUGCUCCUCACCGCAGAGACUCCGCCUGCGCCCCCGCCCGGCUCACCUGGAUCUCAACACUCACUCUCCUUCCGAGUCUCCUCCCUGCAGCACGGCUGUGGGUUGGGGCACAGUGUCCCUGCCCCCUCCAGUGAAGCCCCAGGGCUCCCUGAACUCCAGGCGAGGCUUUCUGUCGAUCUCUCUGGCGACACUAAUUGCGGCCCAGGCAGAUGAGGAAACUGGGAGGCGGACACGGCAGUGCCGCCCGGUCUGACUCAGGCCCAACAGCCCCCAGCAGCCCGUGGGACAUCUCUCCCGGAGCAGAGAGGGGUUCAGCUCACCUCGGACCCCUCGCCUGCAAACGCCCAGGCGUCUCAAACUCUUCCACCCAGAGACACCCUUCCCAUCGGGACUGGCAGGGUGUCUGCGGCUUUUCACUCGGAGAAUCUGGGGUGUCUCGGUUACCAGAAACCAGGUCCUGCAGGGCUGUGCCUGCCCCGCAGACAAUCCCUGAGACAGUCCGGGGGCCUUGCUCAUUCGUUCAACGCACAUACGAUAUGGAAUAACCACUAUAGUACAAACGCUCUGUGCCCCAACCAUUCAUCCCUCCCUCCCUCGGCCCCUGGCAACUCUUGACGUUUUUUACUGCUACCACCGUGUUGCCUUCUCCAAAGUGUCACAGCGUUGGAAUUAUACAGUACGUGGUUUCUUUCACUUCGCAACAUGCCUUUACGGUGUCUCCGUGUCUUUUCACGGCUUGACAGCGUGCUGCUUUUCAGCACUGACCCGCCCACCUACCGCAGGACAUCCUGGCAGCUCCCACGUUUCGGCAGUUAUGGAUAAAGCUGCCAUACACAUUCACGCGAAGGAUUUGUGCGGACGUAAGUUUUCAAGUCCCUUGAGUAAAUAAACACCAAGAGGCACAAUUGCUAGAGUAGGUAGGAGUAUGCUUAGGUUUGUAAGAAAGAGCCAAUCUGUCCUCCAGGGUGGCCACACCGUCAGCACCCCACCAACAGGAGUGGGUGCUCCUGUGGCCCCCCAUCCUCGCCGGCACUGGGUGUGGUUGGAGUUCUGGGGUCGGGCCGUCUAAUCAGUGUGCAGUGGUACCCCAUUAUCACUUCAAUUCCUCCCCAUGUGUUAGUUCGUCACCUCAGAGUCACUGGAUGAGGCGGGUGCUGACAUCACCGCAUUUACCUACAUGGAAACUGCAGCUCACAGAGGUAGGGUGUUACCCAAAGUCACAGGAGGGGCAGAGCUGAGGUUCAGACCUCGGACGGCAGGUGCCCUCCUCACUCAGGGGAACGCCUUUCCGAUCAGGAGCUUCGGAGUAUUGGGGGAGUCUGGGAGUCUGGGAGUCCUGGGCAGGUGCGGUAAA